rnacentral:tRNA from 3 species
GGGAGAUUAGCUCAGUUGGUAGAGCAGUUGAUUUACACUCAUCAGGUCAGAGGUUCGAGCCCUCUAUCUCCCA